UAUAAAAAUGGUGAAUUACAUGUGGUAAGUAAUUUUUAGUAGAUAAUUUCAUUUUCGUUGAAUAAGAAGAAGAAUUAUUGACAAUUGAUCUAUUAUUGUUAUAUAUUUUGAAAUUGUGAAGAAACAGUUUGGAAUCAAAAUAAUCAUUUAUUUAUGUAGCUGAACACAUUUUUAAAAAACUCAACCCAAUAAAUUAUCUAUCAAAUUUAUGAAAAUGGGUAGUUUAACGGUAGCUGAUGCAAAUGCGCUUACACUCGAAAUCGGCCCCUUUGAAACGGUUCAUAGAUGGAAACGAAUGCCAGAAUGUGACGAAUUUGUUGGAGCCAGGCGAAGUAAACACACAGUUGUUGCUUACAAAGAUGCUAUUUAUGUGUUCGGAGGAGACAAUGGUAAAAGUAUGUUAAACGAUUUAUUACGUUUUGAUGUGAAAGAAAAAAGUUGGGGACGUGCGUUCGCUACGGGAUCUCCACCUGCACCAAGGUAUCAUCAUUCUGCAGUUGUUUAUAACACUUCCAUGUUCGUUUUUGGUGGUUAUACCGGUGAUAUUCACUCAAACUCUAAUCUAACAAAUAAAAAUGAUUUAUUUGAAUAUAAAUUCAAUUCCGGUCAAUGGGUGGAGUGGAAAUGGUUUCCAGGGCAAACGCCAGUACCUAGAUCAGCGCACGGAGCUGCUGUUUUUGAUAAUAAACUAUGGAUAUUCGCAGGUUAUGAUGGAAAUGCUCGAUUGAAUGAUAUGUGGACUAUACCUCUAAUUGGCGAUGUGAAGAGUUGGGAGGAAGUUGAUCAAAAGGGUGAAUGUCCGCCUACGUGUUGUAAUUUCCCCGUUGCAGUAGCUAGGGAUUGUAUGUUUGUUUUCAGUGGUCAAAGUGGGGCUAAAAUAACAAACUCUCUAUUUCAAUUCGACUUUAAAGAUAAAAUUUGGACGAGAAUAUCUACUGAACACAUUCUUCGAGGUGCUCCUGCUCCUCCAGCGCGACGUUAUGGACAUACCAUGGUGUCAUUUGAUAGACAUUUAUAUGUAUUUGGUGGAGCUGCAGAUUCAACUCUAUCGAAUGAUUUACACUGUUUUGAUUUAGAUUCACGUAAAUGGUCUAUAGUAUUACCAGAUGCGGAAUCUUUUGUACCAUCCGGUAGGUUGUUUCAUGCAGCUGCUGUUGUCGGCGAUGCCAUGUUCAUUUUUGGUGGUACUGGGGAUAAUAAUGUUCGAAGCGGAGAGAUGUAUAGAUUUCAGUUUUCGAAUUAUCCCAAAUGUACCCUACAUGAAGAUUACGGUAAAUUACUUGAAACGAGAAUGUUUUGUGAUACUCAAUUUAUUGUUGGCCCCGAAGAAAAGAAAAUAACCGGUCACGUCGCUUUGGUGGCUGCUAGAUCCGGUUACUUAAGGAAAUUGAUUCGACAAGCUAAAAUUGAUCGCGACAAGCAUUUAGAAAGAGUGUUUGGUACUUCGAACGUUCCUUUUGCUGAUAUACCUUUAGUGGAAGUAAAACUUCCUGAUGCCGAUCCUGAAGCUUUCGAAAUGGUUUUGAAUUAUAUAUACAUGGAUUGUAUCGAUCCGACUAAAAGGGGUAGAGAUGGUGAAGAUCCUUUUUCUAAUAGAAUCGUUUUGAGGAUGAUGGACGUUUAUAGGUUGGCAGUACAAUUUAACAUGGCGAGAUUGGAACAUUUGUGUGUUCAAUACUUAAAUGCUACUAUUUGUUUAAAAAAUGUUCUGGUCGCUUUACAUAAAGCCGAUCAACUUCAGUUGGACUUUAUCAAAGAACAUUGUUUACGAUAUAUAGUUAAAGAGAGUAAUUAUAAUCAGAUAGUAAUGAGUACUGAAUUUGAAACCUUGGAUCGAAGUCUAAUGGUGGAAAUUAUAAGAAGAAAACAGAUGCCUCAAUAUAAGGCCCUUGCUGAAAAUCAAUUCGAUACAGCCGGAGGUUCCCUAGAACAAGAUAUGGCAAUGUUUUUACGAGUAACCGGUAAAGAAUUCUGCGACAUCGAUUUGAACUUAGACGGAAAUCUCAUUCCGGCUCAUAAAACUAUCCUAGCCGCUCGAUGUGGGUAUUUUGAAGCCAUGUUUAGAUCAUUUAUGCCAGCUGAUAGCAAAGUUAACAUCCAAAUAGGUGAAAUGAUACCAUCAAAAGAAUCAUUCGAUUCCCUACUACGAUAUAUCUAUUAUGGUGAUGUAAAUAUGCCUCCUGAAGAUUCUCUCUACCUCUUCUCGGCCCCUUUCUUUUACGGUUUCACCAACAAUCGCCUACAAGCUUUUUGUAAACAAAAUCUCGAAAUGAACGUCACUUUCGAAAAUGUUAUACAAAUUUUAGAAGCCGCAGAUAAAAUGCAAGCCACCGAUAUGAAAAAAUACGCUUUGGAUUUAAUCGUUCACCAUUUUACCAAAGUGGCGAAAUUACCCAGAUUGCGUUUGCUGAGUAAAGAAUUAAUUCUGGAUAUAUUAGAAGUUCUUGCGGAAAGUAUGGAAUCGAAUAUGCGUAACGACGUUUCGAAUUCUCUGUUAAAUUUGGAUCAAUGAUUGUCGUUGAUGAGAAAGGAUUUGAAGUUAACUUUGAGAAGAGUAACGAUUAUAUUGAUUACUGUCAUUUCGGCCAUUAUCGAUAGAAGUUGGUUGGAAAAACUCGAAUACGAAGAUGUAUAUUUCUAAUGGUUGUUUUCUGAAGGUACCUCGUAUAUAUUAUAUUCUUAAUACCUUAAAUGCUGUUUUUAAACUUUUUUGUAGAAUUCAUAAUUCAUUUUGAUUGAAAUUAUGUUUUUGUCGAAAAUAUAUUUAAUAUCAAUAGUAGUUCAAAUGUACCAUCAAAUAUAUUUUAAAAAGUUAUAAAAAAAUGUAAAUUAUUGGUUAAAAUGGAUGGACGUUAAUGAACUAAGUAUAAAGCAUAAUUUAUUGUUUCUAUCACAUGUAUUAAAUUAAAAAUGUUACAAGGACAUCUCGAAAUGUUUUUAAAAUAAAAACUUGGAACAAAAAAUUAUUUUUCAUUGUAAAUUUCCAAAAAAAAAUCGAUUAAACAUACCAAAUUGUUUUAUGUGUCAAUCUUAAUUGGGGUUUGAUAACUAUUAUCAAUGAUUUUUCUGAAUUCAUAAUGAUUAAUGAUAUAUUUUUUUAAUCUUUUCAAAUAGUCGUUUUCUGAAAAACCCUCGUUUACAUUCAUGAUAAUUUCGAAAGCAUUUUCACAUUUCUGUAGAAUGGAGUUACUAUAAUUUGAAAAAAAUUUAAUUUUAUGGCAGUAAUAUGAGUCAUAGCAAUAGUAGUUCAAAUGUACAAUCAAAUGUUAUUUGAAAAUUUGUUGAAAAAAGUGAAAUUAUUGGUUAAAUACGGGUGAACAGUAAUAGAUUGAGUAUAAAACAUAAUUUACUGAUUUAGUCACAAAGAUUUCAUUAAAAAAUGUUACAAAAACAUUUCAAUUUGUUUCUAUAUAACUACUAGUAACGAAAACUAAUUUUUUUGUAUGAAUUCACAAAAAUCGAUUUAUUUUUAUUUAAAAAAAUUCUACAAUUUUGAUAUUUUGUUUCAAAAUACAAUUUAUUACUUGAAAAUUUAAAUAUUGAAACUAUUGAAUAAACUUUUUUUCUUAA